GGGCACCGCACACGGCUAAGAGAUCAAUGAUCAACUUCUGUGUCCAUGGGGUGCCCCCCUCCCCCGUAUAUAAAGGAGAGGAGGAGGGGGAUGGCCGGCCCUCUACUAUGGCGCGCCCUGGGGAGUCCUACUCCCACCGGGAGUAGGAUUCCCCCCUUCCAUGUAGUAGGAGUAGGAGAGAAGGAAAGGGAAAAGAGAAGAGAAGGAAGGAGGGGGCGGUGCCCCUCCCCUAGUCCAAUUCGGACUAGGCCUUGGGGGGCGCGCAGCCUCCCCUCUCUCUUUCCCCUAAAGCCCAAUAAGGCCCGUAUACUCUCCGGCGAAUUCCUGUAACUCUCCGGUACUCCGAUAAAUACAUGAACCACUCAGAACCUUUCCGAUGUCCGAAUAUAGCCUUCCAAUAUAUCGAUCUUUACGCCUCGAAUAUUUCAAGACUCCUCGUCAUAUCCCUGAUCUCAUCUAGGACUCCGAACAACCUUCGGUACAUCAAAACACAUAAACUCAUAAUACCGAUCGUCACCGAACGUUAAGUGUGAGGACCCUACGGGUUCGAGAACUAUGUAGACAUGACCGAGACAUGUCUCCGGUCAAUAACCAAGAGCGGAACCUGGAUGCUCAUAUUGGAUCCUACAUAUUCUACGAAGAUCUUUAUCGGUCAAACCCCAUAACAACAUACGUUGUUCCCUUUGUCAUCGGUAUGUUACUUGCCCGAGAUUCGAUCGUCGGUAUCUCAAUACCUAGUUCAAUCUCGUUACCGGCAAGUCUCUUUACUCGUUUUGUAAUGCAUCAUCCCGCAACUAACUCAUUAGUCACAUUGCUUGAAAGGCUUAUAGUGAUGUGCAUUACCGAGAGGGCCCAGAGAUACCUCUUCGACAAUCGGAGUGACAAAUCCUAAUCUUGAUCUAUGUCAACUCAACAAGUACCAUCGUAGACACCUGUAGAGCACAUUUAUAAUCACCCACUUACGUUGUGACGUUUGGUAGCACACAAAGUGUUCCUUCGAUAUUCGGGAGUUGCAUGAUCUCAUAGUCAUAGGAACAUGUAUAGUUAUGGAGAAAGCAAUAGCAACAAACUAAAUGAUCAUUGUGCUAAGCUAACGGAUGGGUCAAGUCAAUCACGUCAUUCUCUAAUGAUGUGAUCCCAUUAAUCAAGUGACAACUCAUGUCUAUGGUUAGGAAACAUAACCAUCAUUGAUUCAACGAGCUAGUCAAGUAGAGGCAAACUAGUGACAAUCUGUUUGUCUAUGUAUUCACACAUGUAUUAAGUUUCCAGUUAAUACAAUUCUAGCAUGAAUAAUAAACAUUUAUCAUGAUAUAAGGAAAUAUAAAUAACAACUUUAUUAUUGCCUCUAGGGCAUAUUUCCUUCAGUCUCUCACUUGCACUAGAGUCAAUAAUCUAGUUCACAUCUUUAUGUGAUUAGUUCACAUCUCCAUGUGACUAAUACCCAAAGGGUUUACUAGAGUCAAUAAUCUAGUUCACAUCGCUAUGUGAUUAACACCCAAAGAGUGAUCAUGUUUUGCUUGUGAGAGAGAUUUAGUCAACGGGUCUGCCACAUUCAGAGCUGUAUGUAUUUUGCAAAUUUUCUAUGUCUACAAUGCUUUGCACGGAGCUACUCUAGCUAAUUGCUCCCACUUUCAAUAUGUAUCCAGAUCGACAAUUAGAGUCAUCUAGAUGGAUGUAAAAAGCUUGCAUCGACAUAACUCUUUAUGACGAACUCUUUUAUCACCUCCAUAACCGAGAAAUAUUUCCUUAGUACUCUAAGGAUAAUUUUAACCGUUGUCCAGUGAUCUACUCCUAGAUCACUAUUGUACUCCUUUGCCAAACUCAGGGCAGGGUAUACAAUAGGUCUGGUACAUAGCAUGACAUACUUUAUAGAACCUAUGACUGAGGCAUAGGGAAUGAUUUUUCAUUCUCUUUCUAUUUUCUGCCGUGGUCGGGUUUUGAGUCUUUACUCAAGUUCAAACCUUGCAACACAGGCAAGAACUCCUGCUUUGACUGUUCCAUUUUGAACUACUUCAAAAUCUUGUCAAGGUAUGCACUCAUUGAAAAACUUAUCAAACGUCUUGAUCUAUCUCUAUAGAUGUUGAUGCUCAAUGUGUAAGUAGCUUCAUCGAGGUAUUUCUUUGAAAACUCUUUUCAAACACUCCUUUAUGCUUUCUAGAAGAUUCUAAAUUAUUUCCGAUCAACAAUAUGUCAUUCACAUAUACUUAUCAGAAAUGAUGUAGUGCACCCACUCACUUUCUUGUAAAUACAGGCUUCACCGCAAGUCUGUAUAAAACCAUAUGCUUUGAUCACUUUGUCAAAGCAUAUAUUCCAACUCCGAGAUGCUUGCACCAGUCCAUAGAUGGAUCGUUGGAGCUUGCUCACUUUGUUAGCACCUUUAGGAUCGAUGAAACCUUCUGAUUGCAUCAUAUACAACUCUUCUUUAAGAAAUCCAUUAAGGAAUACAGUUUUGAUAUCCAUUUGCCAGAUUUCAUAAAAUGCGGCAACUGCUAACAUGAUUCAGACAGACUUUUAAGCAUCAAUACGAGUGAGAAAAUUUCAUCGUAGUCAACACCUUGAACUUGUCAAAAACAUUUUUGUGACAAUUCGAGCUUUGUAGAUAGUAACACUACUAUCAGUGUCCGUCUUCCUCUUGAAGAUCCAUUUAUUUUCUAUGGCUUGCCAAUCAUUGGGCAAGUCAAUCAAAGUCCAUACUUUGUUCUUUAUACAUGGAUCCCAUCUCAGAUUUCAUGGCCUUAAUCCAUUUCAAGGAAUUUGGGCUCAUCAUCGCUUCCUCAUAGUUCCUAGGUUCAUCAUGGUCUAGUAACAUGACUUCCAGAAAGGAUUACCGUACCACUCUUGUGCGGACCAUACUCUGGUUGUCCUACGAGGUUCGGUAGUAACUUGAUCUGAAGUUUCAUGAUCAUCAUCAUUAGCUUCCUCACAAAUUGGCGUAGAAAUCACUAGAACUGAUUUCUGUGAUGAACUACUUUCCAAUUCGGGAGAAGGUACAAUUACCUCAUCAAGUUCUACAUUCCUCUCACUCACUUCUUUCGAGAGAAACUUCUUCUCUAGAAAGGAUCCACUCUUAGCAAUGAAUGUCUUGCCUUCGGAUCUGUGAUAGAAGGUGUACCCAACUGUCUCCUUUGGGUAUGCUAUGAAGACACAUUUCUCCGAUUUGGGUUUGAGCUUAUCAGGAUGAAACUUUUUCACAUAAGCAUCGCAACCCCAAACUUUAAGAAACGACAACUUUGGUUUCUUGCCAAACCACAGUCCAUAUGGUGUCAUCUCAACGAAUUUAGAUGGUGCCCUAUUUAACAUGAAUGCAACUGUCUCUAAUGCAUAACCCCAAAACGAUAGUGGUAAAUCGGUAAGAAACAUCAUAGAUUGCACCAUAUCUAAUAAAGUACGGUUACAAUGUUCGGACACACCAUUACGCUGUGGUGUUCCAGGUGGCGUGAGUUGCGAAACUAUUCUGCAUUGUUUCAAAUGAAGACCAAACUCGUAACUCAAAUAUUUGCCUCCACGAUCAGAUCGUAGAAACUUUUUUUUCUUGUUAUGAUGAUUUUCCACUUCACUCUGAAAUUCUUUGAACUUUUCAAAUGUUUCAGACUUAUGUUUCAUUAAGUAGAUAUACCCAUAUCUGCUCAAAUCAUCUGUGAAGGUCAGAAAAUAAAGAUACCCGCCGCGAGCCUCAACACUUAUCGGAUCGCAUACAUCAGUAUGUAUUAUUUCCAAUAAAUCAGUUGCUUGCUCCAUUGUUUCGGAGAACGGAGUCUUAGUCAUCUUACCUAUGAGGCAUGGUUCGCAAGCAUCAACUGAUUCAUAAUCAAGUGAUUCCAAAAGCCCAUCAACAUGGAUUUUCUUCAUGCGCUUUACACCAAUAUGACCUAAAUGGCAGUGCCACAAAUAAGUUGCACUAUCAUUAUUAACUUUGCAUCUUUUGGCUUCAAUAUUUUGAAUACGUGUAUCACUACGAUCGAGAUUCAAUAAACCAUUCACCUUGGUGUAUGACCAUUGAAGGUUUUAUUCAUGUGAACAAAACAACAAUUAUUCUCUAACUUUAAAUGAAUAACCGUAUUGCAAUAAACAUGAUCAAAUCAUAUUCAUGCUUAACGCAAACACCAAAUAACAUUUAUUUAGGUUCAACACUAAUCCUGAAAGUAUAGGGAGUGUGCGAUGAUGAUCAUAUCAAUCUUGGAACCACUUCCAGCACACAUCGUCACUUCACCCUUAACUAGUCUCUGUUCAUUCUGCAACUCCUAUUUCGAGUUACUAAUCUUUAGCAACUGAACUAGUAUCAAAUACUAAGGGGUUGAUAUAAACACUAGUAAAGUACACAUCAAUAACAUGUAUAUCAAAUAUACCUUUGUUCACUUUGCCAUCCUUCUUAUCCGCCAAAUACUUGGGGCAGUUCUGCUUCCAGUGACCAGUCCCUUUAUAGUAGAAGCACUUAGUCUCGGGCUUAGGUCUAGACUUGGGCUUCUUCACUUGAGCAGCAACUUGCUUGCCAUUCUUCUUGAAGUUCUCCUUCUUCCCUUUGCCCUUUUCUUGAAACUAGUGGUCUUCUCAACCAUCAACACUUGAUGCUUUUCUUGAUUUCUACCUUCGUCGAUUUCAGUAUCACGAAGAGCCUGGGAAUCAUUUCUGUUAUCCCUUGCAUAUUAUAGUUCAUCACGAAGUUCUAGUAACUUGGUGAUAGUGACUAGAGAACUCUGUCAAUCACUAUCUUAUCUGGAAGAUUAACUCCCACUUGAUUCAAGUGAUUGUAGUACUCAGACAUUCUGAGCACAUGCUCACUAGCUGAGCUAUUCUCCUCCAUCUUGUAGGCAAAGUACUUGUCAGAGGUCUCAUACCUCUCGACUCGGGCAUGAGUCUAAAAUACCAAUUUCAGCUCUUGGAACAUCUCAUAUGCUCCAUGACAUUUCAAAACAUUUUGAUGUCCCGGUUCUAAGCCGUAAAGCAUGGUGCACUAAACUAUUAAGUAGUCAUCAUACCGAGCUUUGUCAAACGUUCAUAACGUGUGCAUCUCCUCCUGCAAUAGGUUUGUCACCUAGAAGUGCAUCAAGGACAUAAUUAUUCUCUGCAGCAAUGAGGAUAAUCCUCAGAUCACGGAUCCAAUCCGCAUCAUUGCUACUAACAUCUUUCAACUUUAUUUUCUCUAGGAACAUAUCAAAAAUAAAUGGGGACCUACAUCGCAAGCUAUUGAUCUACAACAUAGAUAUGCAAAUACUAUUAGGACUAAGUUCAUGAUAAAUUAAAGUUCAAUUUAAUCAUAUUACUUAAGAACUCCCGCUUAGAUAGACAUCCCUCUAGUCAUAUAAAUGAUCACGUGAUCCAAAUCAACUAAACCAUGUACAAUCAUCACGUGAGAUGGAGUAGUUUUCAAUGGUGAACAUCACUAUGUUGAUCAUAUCUACUAUAUGAUUCACGCUCGACCUUUCGGUCUCAGUGUUCCGAGUGUUGGGGAUAGUAGCAGAAAUUUAAAAUUUUCUACGCAUCACCAAGAUCAAUCUAUGGAGUAAUCUAGCAACGAGGGGAAGGGGAGUGCAUCUACAUACCCUUAUAGAUCGCUAAGAGGAAGCAUUGCAAGAACGCGGAUGAGGUAGUCGUACUCGUGGCGAUUCAGAUCGCGGUCGAUUCUGAUCUAAGCGCCGAACAAUGGCGCCUCCGCGUUCAACACACGUGCAGCCCGGUGACGUCUCCCAUGCCUUGAUCCAGCAAGGAGAGAGGGAGAGGUUGGGGAAGACUCCGUCUAGUAGCAGCACGAUGGCGUGGUGGUGGUGGAGGAGUGCGGGACUCUAGCAGGGCUUCGCCAAGCACUACGAGAGACGAGGAGGGAGAGAGGUAGGGCUGCGCCAAGAGGGAGAUGAUCUCCUAUGUCUGGCAGCCCCAAAAAACCCCAAUAUACAUAGGGGAAGGGGAGGGGCUGCGCCCCCAUCUAGGGUUCCAUCCCUAAGGGUGGCGGCAGCCCCCAAAACCCAUCUAGGGUGCGGCCAAGGGGGGAAAGAGAGGGAGGGCGCCCUAGGGUGGGCCUUAAGGCCCAUCUGGACCUAGGGUUUGCCCCCUUCCCACUCUCCACACACCUUGGGCCUUGGUGGGGGGCGCACCAGCCUACCUGGGGCUGGUCCCCUCCCACACUUGGCCCACGCAGCCUUCUAGGGCUGGUGGCCCCAUCUGGUGGACCCCCGGGACCCUCCCGGUGGUCCCGGUACGUUACCGAUAGCACCUGAAACUUUUCCGGUGACCAAAAUGGGACUUCCCAUAUAUAAAUAUUUACCUCCGGAUCAUUCCAGAACUCCUGGUGACAUCCGGGAUCUCAUUCGGGACUGCGAACAACAUUUGGUAACCGCGUACAUACUUUCCCUAUAACCCUAGCGUCAUCGAACCUUAAGUGUGUAGACCCUAUGGGCUCGGGAGUCAUGCAGACAUGGCCGAGACAACUCUUCAGUCAAUAACCAACAGCGGGAUUUGGAUACCCAUGUUGGAUCCCACAUGCUCCACGAUGAUCUCAUCGUAUGAACCACGAUGUCAAGGAUUCAAUCAAUCCCAUAUACAAUUCCCUUUGUCUAUCGGUACGAUACUUUCCCGAGAUUCGAUCAUCGAUAUACCGAUACCUCGUUCAAUCUCGUUACCGGCAAGUCUCUUUACUCGUUUCGUAACACAUCAUCCCGUGAUCAACUCCUUGGUCACAUUGUGCACAUUAUGAUGAUGUCCUACCGAGUGGGCCUAGAGAUACCUCCCCGUUACACGGAGUGACAAAUCCCAGUCUCGAUUCGUGCCAACCCAACAGACACUUUCGGAGAUACCCGCAGUGCACCUUUAUAGCCACCCAGUUACGUUGUGACGUUUGGUACACCCAAAGCAUUCCUAUGGUAUCCAGGAGCUGCACAAUCUCAUGGUCUAAGGAAAUGAUACUUGACAUUAGAAAAGCUUUAGCAUACGAACUACACGAUCUUGUGCUAGGCUUAGGAUUGGGUCUUGUCCAUCACAUCAUUCUCCUAAUGAUGUGAUCCUGUUAUCAACGACAUCCAAUGUCCAUGGUCAGGAAACCGUAACCAUCUAUUGAUCAACGAGCUAGUCAACUAGAGGCUUACUAGGGACAUGGUGUUGUCUAUGUAUCCACACAUGUAUCUAAGUUUCCUAUCAAUACAAUUCUAGCAUGGAUAAUAAACGAUUAUCAUGAAAAAGGAAAUAUAAUAAUAACUAAUUUAUUAUUGCCUCUAGGGCAUAUUUCCAACAGUCUCCCACUUGCACUAGAGUCAAUAAUCCAGUUCACAUCGCUAUGUGAUUAACACUCAAGGUCACAUCCCCAUGUGACUAACACCCAAAGAGUUUACUAGAGUCAAUAAUCUAGUUCACAUUACCAUGUGAUUAACACUCAAUGAGUUCUGGGUUUGAUCAUGUUAUGCUUGUGAGACAUGUUAUAGUCAACAGGUCUGAACCUUUCAGAUCCGUGUGUGCUUUACAAAUCUCUAUGUCAUCUUGUAGAUGCAGCUACCACGCUCUUUUUGGAGCUAUUCCAAAUAACUGUUCUACUAUACGAAUCCGGUUUACUACUUAGAAUCAUCCAGAUUAGUGUCAAAGAUUGCAUCGAUGUAACCCUUUACGAUGAACUCUUUUACCACCUCCAUAAUCGAGAAAAUUCCUUAGUCUACUAGUUACUAAGGAUAACCUUGACCAUUGUCCUAUGAUCCAUUCCUAGAUCACACUUGUACCCCUUGACUGACUCAUGGCUUGGCAAACUUCAUAUGCGGUACACAACAUAGCAUACUUUAGAGCCUACGUCUAAAGCAUAGGGGACGGCCUUCAUCCUUUCUCUCUAUUUUGCCGUGGUCAGGUCUUUGAGUUUUACUCAAUACUCAUACCUUAUAGCACAGCCAAGAACUCCUUCUUUGCUGGUCUAUUUUUGAACUCCUUCAAAAUUUUGUCAUGGUGUGCGUUCGUUUGAAAGUACUAUUAAGCGAUUUUGAUCUAUCCUUAUAGAUCUUGAUGCUCAAUGUUCAAGUAGCUUAAUCCAGGUUUUCCAUUGAAAAACACUUUUCAAAUAACCCUAUAUGCUUUCCAGAAACUCUACAUCAUUUCUGAUCAACAAUAGUCAACAACAUAUACUCAUCAGAAAUUCUAUAGUGCUCCCACUCACUUCUUUGGAAAUACAAGUUUCUCAUAAACUUUGUAUAAACCCAAAAUCUUUGAUCAUCUCAUCAAAGCGUACAUUCCAACUCCGAGAUGCUUACUCCAGUCCUUAGAAGGGUUGCUGGAGCUUUGCAUACUUGUUAGCAUCUUUCAGGAUUGUCAAAAAACUUCUGGUUUUAUCACAUACAACCUUUCCUCAAGAAAAUCGUCGAGGAAACGAUGUUUUGACAUCCUAUCUGCAAGAUUUCAUAAAUAAUGCAAUAAUUGCUAAUAUAAUUCCAACAGACUCUUAGCAUCGCUACGAGUGAGAAAGUCUCAUUAUAGUCAACUCCUUGAACUUGUCGGGAAACAUCUUAACGACAAGUCGAGCUUUCUUAAUGGUGACACUUACCAUCACUGUCUGUCUUCCUUUUAAAAUCCAUCUGCACCCAACAGCCUUACGACCAUCAAGUGGUUCUUUCAAAGUCCAUACUUUCUUUUAUACAUGGAUCCUCUCUCGGAUUUUAUGGCCUCGAGCCAUUCUUCGGAAUCUGGGCCCACCAUCACUUCUCCAUAGCUCGUAGGUUCAUUGUUGUCUAGCAACAUGACUUCCAAGACAGGAUUAUGUACCACUCUGAAGUAGUAUGCAUCCUUGUCGACCUAUGAGGUUUGGUAGUGACUUGAUCCGAAGUUUCAUGAUCACUAUCAUAAGCUUCCACUUCAAUUGGUGUAGGUGCCACAGGAACAACUUCCUGUGCCCUUCUACACACUAGUUGAAGUGACGGUUCAAUAACCUCAUCAAGUCUACACCAUCCUCCCACUCAAUUCUUUCGAGAGAAACUUUUCCUCGAGAAAGGACCCGUUUCUAGAAAUAAUCACUUUUGCUUCCGGAUCUGAAAUAGGAGGUAUACCCAACUAUUUUUGGGUAUUCUAUGAAGAUGCAUUUAUCCGCUUUGGGUUCGAGCUUAUCAGCCUGAAACUUUUUCACAUAAGCAUCGCAGCCCCAAACUUUUAAGAAACGACAGCUUAGGUUUCUCUAAACCAUAGUUCAUACGGUGUCGUCUCAAUGGAAUUGUGUGGUGCCCUAUUUAAAGUGAAUGUGGUUGUCUUUAAUGCCUAACCCAUAAACGAUAGUGGUAAUUCGAUAAGAGACAUCAUGGUAUGCACCAUAUCCAAUAGGGUGCAGUUGUGAUGUUCGGACACACCAUCACACUAUGGUGGUCCAGGCGGUAUUAGUUGUGAAACAAUUUCCACAAUGUCUUAAUUGUGUGCCAAACUCGUAACUCAGAUAUUCAUCUCUAUGAUCAUAUCAUAAACAUUUUAUCAUUUUGUCACGACGAUCUUCAACUUCACUCUGAAAUUACUUAAACCUUUCAAUAAUUCAGACUUGUGUUUCAUCAAGUACAUAUACUCAGCAUCUACUCAAAUCAUCUGUGGAGUAAGAACAUAACGAUAUCCAUUGCGUGCCUCAGCACUCAUUGUACUACACACAUCAAAAUGUAUUACUUCCAACAAGUUGCUUUCUUGUUCCAUCUUACUGAAAACGAGGCCUUUCAGUCAUCUUGCCCAUGUGGUAUGAUUUGCAUGUCUCAAGUGAUUCAAAAUCAAGUGAGUCCAAGCGAUCCAUCUGCAUGGAGUUUCUUCAUGCAUAUCUACCAAUAUGACUCAAAUGGCAGUGCCACAAGUAUGUGGUACUAUCAUUACUAUCUUUUGGCAUGAACAUGUGUAUCACUACGAUCGAGAUUCAAUAAACCAUUCAUUUUUUGGUGCAAGACCAUUGAAGGUAUUAUUCAAAUAAACAGAGUAACCAUUAUUCUCCUUAAAUGAAUAACCGUGUGGCUAUAAACAUAAUCCAAUCAUGUCUAUACUCAACGUAAACAACAAAUAACAAUUAUUUCGGUUUAACACCAAUCCCGAUGGUAGAGGGAGCGUGCGAUGUUUGAUCACAUCAACCUUGGAAACACUUCCAACGCAUAUCGUCAUCUCACCUUUAGCUAGUCUCCGCAGCCUUUUAUUUCGAGUUACUAACGCUUAGCAACCGAACCGGUAUUUAUUACCCUCGUGCUACUAGGAGUACUAGUAAAGUACACAAUAAUAUGACGUAUAUCCAAAAUACUUAUGUCGACCUUGCCAGUCUUCUCAUCUACCAAGUAUCUAGGGUAGUUCUGCUUCAGUGAUCGUUCCUCAUUAUAGAAGCACUUAGUCUCGGGUUUGGUUCAACCUUGGGUUUCUUCACUAGAGCAGCAACUGAUUUGCCGUCUCAUGAAGUAUCCCUUCUUUCCCUUGCCCUUCUUGAAACUAGUGGUUUUACUAACCAUCAACAAUUGAUGCUCCUAUUUGAUUUCUACUUUCGCGGUGUCGUGAAUAGCUCAAGGAUCAUCAUAUCUAUCUCUGAUAUGUUAUAGUUCAUCACGAAGCUCUAGUAGCUUAGUGGCAGUGACUUUGGAGAACCAUCACUAUCUCAUCUGGAAGAUCAACUCCCACUCGAUUCAAGCGAUUGUAGUACUCUGAGCACAUGCUCAACGAUUGAGCUUUUCUCCUUAGUUUGCAGGCUUAUGAAACUUGUCACAGGUCUCAUACCUCUUGACGUGGGCACUAGCCUGAAAUCCCAAUUUCAGUCCUUGGAACAUCUCACAUGUUCUGCGAUGUUUCAAAAACGUCUUCGGUGCCUCAAUUCUAAACCAUUUAGCAUUACGCACUGAACUAUCAUGUAGUCAUCAAAACGUGUAUGUCAGAUGUUCGCAACAUCCACAACCGACGCUCGAGGUUCAGCUCACUAAGCGGUGCAUUAAGGACAUAAUCCUUCUGCGCAGCAAUGAAGACAAUCCUCAAUUUACGGACCCAGUCCGCAUAAUUGCUACUAUCAACUUUCAACUAAAUUUUCUCUAGGAACAUAUCUAAAAUAGUAGAACUAAAGCGUAAGCUACGACAUAAUUUGCAAAAUCCUUUUGACUAUGUUCAUGAUAAUUAAGUUCAUCUGAUUAUUUAAUGAACUCCCACUCAGAUAGGCAUCCCUCUAGUCAUCUAAGUGAUACAUGAUCCGAGUCAACUAGGCCGUGUCCGAUCAUCACAUGAGACGGACUAGUCAUCAUUGGUGAACAUCUUCAUGUUGAUCGUAUCUUCUAUACGACUCAUGUUUGACCUUUCGGUCUUCCGUGUUCCGAGGCCAUGUCUGUACAUGCUAGGCUCGUCAAGUCAACCUAAGUGUAUUGCAUGUGUAAAUCUGGCUUACACCCAUUGUAUUCGAACGUUAGAAUCUAUCACACCCGAUCAUCACGUGGUGCUUCGAAACAACGAACCUUCGCAGCGGUGCACAGUUAGGGGGAACACUUUCUUGAAAUUAUUGCGAGGGAUCAUCUUAUUUAAGCUACCGUCGUUCUAAUCAAAUAAGAUGUAAAACAUGAUAAACAUCACAUGUAAUCAAAUAGUGACAUGAUAUGGCCAAUAUCAUUUUGCUCCUUUUGAUCUCCAUCUUCGGGGCGCCAUGAUCAUCAUCGUCACCGGCAUGACACCAUGAUCUCCAUCAUCAUGAUCUCCAUCAUCGUGUCUUCAUGAAGUUGUCUCGUCAUCUAUUACUUCUACUACUAUGGCUAACGGUUUAGCAAUAAAGUAAAGUAAUUACAUGAAGUUUAUGUUGACACGCGGGUCAUAAAUAAAUUAAGACAACUCUUAUGGCUCCUGUCGGUUGUCAUACUCAUCGACAUGCAAGUCGUGAUUCCUAUUACAAGAACAUGAUCAAUCUCAUACAUCACAUAUAUCAUUCAUCACAUCCUUUUGGCCAUAUCACAUCACACGGCAUAUGCUGCAAAAACAAGUUAGACGUCCUCUAAUUGUUGUUGCAAAUGUUUACAUGGCUGCUAUAGGUUUCUUAGCAAGAACGUUUCUUACCUACGCCAAAACCACAACGUAAAAUGCCAAUUUCUAUUUACCCUUCAUAAGGACCCUUUUCAUCGAAUCCGAUCCGACUAAAGUGGGAGAGACAGACACCCGCUAGCCACCUUAUGCAACUAGUGCAUGUCAGUCGGUGGAACCUGUCUCACGUAAGAGUACGUGUAAGGUCGCUCCGGGCCGCUUCAUCCCAUGAUGCCGCCGAAUCAAGAUAAGACUAGUAACGGCAAGUAAAUUGACAAAAUCGACGCCCACAACAACUUAUGUUCUACUCGUGCAUAGAAACUACGCAUAGACCUAGCUCAUGAUGCCACUGUUGGGGAUCGUAGCAGAAAUUUAAAAUUUUCUACGCAUCACCAAGAUCAAUCUAUGGAGUAAUCUAGCAAUGAGGGGAAGGGGAGUGCAUCUACUGUAACACCCCGGAUAUAACUUUCCCAAUUUGUACUCCAACUCUUGCCGUUUCCGGCGUUAAGUUAUAUUUAUUUCCUCGGGUUCGGGUUUUUGUCUCCAUGUGUUGUUGUCAUUGUCAUGUGUCUCAUAUCAUGUCAUCAUGUGCAUUGCAUUUGCAUACGUGUUCGUCUCAUGCAUUCGAGCUUUUUCCCCGUUGUCCGUUUUGCAUUCCGGCGCUUCGUUCUCCUCCGGUGGUCAUUUCUAGCUUUCUUUCGUGUGUGGGGAUUAAACAUUUCCGGAUUGGACCGAGACUUGCCAAGCGGCCUUGGUUUACUACCGGUAGACCGCCUGUCAAGUUUCGUAUCAUUUGGACUUCGUUUGAUACUCCAACGGUUAACCGAGGGACCGAAAAGGCCUCGUGUGUGUUACAGCCCAACCCUCCAAUUUGGCCCAAAUACCCACCUAACUCUACUCCAUCAUCUAGAGCGUUCGAUCACGAUCGCGUGGACGAAAACUGCACCUCAUUUGGACUCUCCUAGCUCCCCCUAUGCCUAUAUAUACACACCCCCAUUCCAAAUUCGCGGAUCCUCAUCCUCCUAACCCUAAAAAAAUCUCCUCGCCGCCGCCGGACAUGUCCGCCGCCUAACCAGACACGUCCGGCCGCCACAGCCGCCCAAUCGCGUGCCGCCAUGUGGGGGCGUGCCCACUUCGCCGUGCCGCCGCCCGUGCGGGCCCGCCAGGCCCAAGGCCGGCCCCCGCGAGCCCGCGAGCCGAGCCGUCUCNNNNNNNNNNNNNNNNNNNNNNNNNNNNNNNNNNNNNNNNNNNNNNNNNNNNNNNNNNNNNNNNNNNNNNNNNNNNNNNNNNNNNNNNNNNNNNNNNNNNNNNNNNNNNNNNNNNNNNNNNNNNNNNNNNNNNNNNNNNNNNNNNNNNNNNNNNNNNNNNNNNNNNNNNNNNNNNNNNNNNNNNNNNNNNNNNNNNNNNNNNNNNNNNNNNNNNNNNNNNNNNNNNNNNNNNNNNNNNNNNNNNNNNNNNNNNNNNNNNNNNNNNNNNNNNNNNNNNNNNNNNNNNNNNNNNNNNNNNNNNNNNNNNNNNNNNNNNNNNNNNNNNNNNNNNNNNNNNNNNNNNNNNNNNNNNNNNNNNNNNNNCCCGGUGCCAUCGUCGCCUCGCCGCCUCCGCGGGCCACUGCCACCGUCGUCCGGCCACUCCGGCGACCGGAUCUGGCCGGCCCCGGCCUCCUCCGACCUCCCCGGCGCCGCCCCGCAUCCCCCUCCGGCGAACUCCGGCCAGAUCCCGGCGAUCCUCGACUUCCGCGCCAAAGUCAACCCUAGAUCCGGUGGUAAAAUUCGGCUAAGUCCUCAGAAUUCUCAGUUCAAGUGCUCAUGUUCACGGCUCCGUAACUUUGCAUCCGUAGCUCCGAUUCAUGCAUAUAGCAUAUCAAAAUGUUCAUCUCAGAGAGUACAUCAUUUCAUUCCAUUGCAUCAUUUUCAUUUGAGUUCAUCUUGAUGCUCGAGAUGCUGUUAGAAGAGGGCUACUUGAGUUAAUUGUCAGAUCUGCUACCCCGUUUAGCACUUUUGUCAUUUUUGCCAUGAUUAUUGUGUGCAUGUUAUGCCCGUGUGCUCUACAUAUGUUUUGUUAAGGGUUUUGUCAUCUUUCCAGAGGUGCAACCCAUUUAUUUUUAGGAUGUGUGUGGUGACUAGUGCAAGCUUGCAAAGUGGUGCACUUGCUAAUUCUGUUUUCAAGGACUUAGUGAUUUCACUAAGUCCUGGAGCUGUUUAUCUCAUGUUGCCAUAUGUUCAUGUUGUUUCCUAGUGAUCCGUGCCUCUUUUGAGGAUGAUCAGUAAAGAUGUUUUGUUAAUAUUGUAGUGCUCUAUCCAUCCAUGUCUUUGUUUGCAAUUAUGGAGCACCCUAGCUUGAGUCAAUCGAGCUCUACUUUUGCUACUUUGUGAAUCUGGGCAGAUUGCCAACUUGUUUGCAAUUUUGCCGGUGAUGUUGUAGUUGAUCCGUGCAUGCUAUGCUAUUGUUCUGCCAUGUCUAGCUUGCAUUUUGUGCCUUCUUGAUGGGUGUAUGCUUGUCUUGCCAUGACUUGCACCAUAGUGAGUGCAUCGAGCUCGUAAACAUGCCUACUUGAGUUAUAUUUCAGCAUGUGUUAGUUUUCACUAAGUAUGAAAACUGAUUAUGUUUUUGCUAUGUUCACAUGCUUGCAAUUGUAUUUUCUGAUCCCUUUUGGCUCAAGGUCACUAAGGGACUUUUAUUAAGAUCUUUGAGUAGCUCCAUGCCAUGCUUUACUUUGCCAUGUUCAGGUCCUGUAGCAUGUAGUUUUGUUGCUCCGAAGAGGGCUACCUGAUCUGAAAUUCCAGAGAAGUGUUAAUUUCACUAUGUCUGAAAUCUGUUUGUCAUAUGCAUUUUUGCCAUGCUUGUUUGAACCUGUUAAUGGAUGAAUUGGCCGUAGCUCAGUGCUAGACUUUUGUUAAGCAUCUUGUGUGCAUCCCUGCCAUGUAUUUUGUUGUCAUGUUUGGGUGCUGUAGCAUGUUCAUUUCGUUGCAUUUAGAUGCCUACUUGCUGUAAAUCGCAGACCGGUGUCAUUUUUGAAUCGCUUGCCAUUUCCAAACCGUAGCUCCGAUUCCGGUGUUCUUUAUAUCGUUUUCAAGCGAUUUCAUCUCGUCUUUCCAGUGGCACACUUGGUUUUCCAAGUUGAUGCCAGGUUCAUGCUUUUCCUGUCAUAUCUUGUAUUUUGCAUCCCGCAUCGCAUCCCGCAUAGCAUAUCAUCAUUGCAUCAUAUCGCUUGAUCCUUGCACGUGGUUGAUUGUAUCCUUGUUGCUUGUUUGUCUUGUUUGGGUAGAGCCAGGAGACGAGUUCGCUAACGAGGAGCCCGUUGAGUUUGCUUUCGAGGAUCCAGUCAACUCUGACAACUGUGCAGGCAAGAUGAUCAUACCCUCGAAAUCACUACUAUCUUUGCUAUGCUAGUUUGCUCGCUCUUUUGCUAUGCCAAUGCUACGAUGCCUACCACUUGCUUGCAAGCCUCCCAAAUUGCCAUGUCAAUCCUCUAACCCACCAUGUCCUAGCAAACCGUUGAUUGGCUAUGUUACCGCUUUGCUCAGCCCCUCUUAUAGCGUUGCUAGUUGCAGGUGAAGAUUGAAGGCCGUUCCUCGUAGGAACAUUUAUUUACUUAUUGGGAUAUCAUUAUAUUAUCUUGUUAUCUUAAUGCAUCUAUAUACUUGGUAAAGGGUGGAAGGCUCGGCCUCUCGCCUGGUGUUUUGUUCCACUCUUGCCACCCUAGUUUCUGUCAUAUCGGUGUUAUGUUCCCGGAUUUUGCGUUCCUUACGCGGUUGGGUUAUAAUGGGAACCCCUUGAUAGUUCGCCUUGAUUAAAGCUUUUCCAGCAAUGCCCAACCUUGGUUUUACCAUUUGCCACCUAGCCUUUUCUUUCCCUUGNNNNNNNNNNNNNNNNNNNNNNNNNNNNNNNNNNNNNNNNNNNNNNNNNNNNNNNNNNNNNNNNNNNNNNNNNNNNNNNNNNNNNNNNNNNNNNNNNNNNNNNNNNNNNNNNNNNNNNNNNNNNNNNNNNNNNNNNNNNNNNNNNNNNNNNNNNNNNNNNNNNNNNNNNNNNNNNNNNNNNNNNNNNNNNNNNNNNNNNNNNNNNNNNNNNNNNNNNNNNNNNNNNNNNNNNNNNNNNNNNNNNNNNNNNNNNNNNNNNNNNNNNNNNNNNNNNNNNNNNNNNNNNNNNNNNNNNNNNNNNNNNNNNNNNNNNNNNNNNNNNNNNNNNNNNNNNNNNNNNNNNNNNNNNNNNNNNNNNNNNNNUGCUUAUCUGAGUGUGCCCUGAGAAAGAGAUAUGUGCAGCUCCUAUCGGGAUUUGUCGGCACAUUCGGGCGGUGUUGCUGGUCUUGUUUUAACCUGUCGAAGUGUCUUGAAUUACCGAGAUACCGAGUCUGAUCGGAACGUCUUGGGAGGAGGUCUAUUCCUUCGUUGACCGUAAGAGCUUGUCAUGGGCUAAGUUGGGACUCCCCUGUAGGGAUUUGAACUUUCGAAAGCCGUGCCCGCGGUUAUGGGCAGAUGGGAAUUUGUUAAUGUCCGGUUGUAGAUAACUUGAACCUUAACUUAAUUAAAAUGAAUCAACUGAGUGUGUUACCGUGAUGGCCUCUUCUCGGCGGAGUCCGGGAAGUGGACACGGUGUUGGAGUAAUGUUUGCGCAGGAUGCUCUCUAGUUUCUCGCUCGCGCUUUGCCUCCUCUUCUCGCUCUCCUUUGCGAAUAAGUUAGCCACCAUAUAUGCUAGUCGCUUGUUGCAGCUCCACAUAUAUUUACCUUGCCUUACCUAUAAGCUUAAAUAGUCUUGAUCGGGAGGGUGCGAGAUUGCUGAGUCCCUGUGGCUCACAAAUUACUAUUACACCAGAUGCAGGGCCUGAUGAUUCCGCUCCAGGAGACGUGUAUGAGCUCAAGUGGGAGUUCGACGAAGACUCUCAACGCUACUAUGUUUCCUUUCCCGAUGAUCAGUAGUGGUGCCCAGUUGGGGGUGAUUGGGACCAUUGUCGCAUGUUGGGUUCUCUUUUAUUUUGGCGCCGUAGUCGGGCCAUGAGUGUUUGGAUGAUGUAAUUUAUUUGUGUACUUGAUUGACGUGGCGAGUGUAAGCCAACUAUGUUAUCUCCCCUUUAUUAUGCAUAUUACAUGGGAUGUUGUGAAGAUUACCUAACUUGCGACAUAUGCCUUCAAUGCGAUUAUGCCUCUAAGUCGUGCCCCGACACGUGGGAGAUAUAAUCGCAUCGAGGGUGUUACAUCUACAUACCCUUGUAGAUCACUAAGCGGAAGCGUUGCAAGAACGCGGAUGAGGUAGUCGUACUCGUGGCGAUUCAGAUCGCGGUCGAUUCUGAUCUAAGCGCCGAACAACGGUGCCUCCGCGUUCAACACACGUGCAGCCCAGUGACGUCGCCCAUGCCUUGAUCUAGCAAGGAGAGAGGGAGAGGUUGGGGAAGACUCUGUCCAGCAGUAGCACGACGGCGUGGUGUUGGUGGAGGAGCGCGGGACUCUAGCAGGGCUUCGCCAAGCACUACGAGAGACGAGGAGGGAGAGAGGUAGGGCUGCGCCAAGAGGGAGAUGAUCUCCUAUGUCUGGCAGCCCCAAAAACCCCCAAUAUAUAUAGGGGAAGGGGAGGGGCUGCGCCCCCAUCUAGGGUUCCAUCCCUAGGGGUGGCGGCAGCCCCCAAAACCCAUCUAGGGUGCGGCCAAGGGGGGAAAGAGAGGGGGGCGCCCUAGGGUGGGCCUUAAGGCCCAUCUGGACCUAGGGUUUGCCCCCUUCCCACUCUCCACGCGCCUUGGGCCUUGGUGGGGGGCGCACCAGCCUACCUGGGGCUGGUCCCCUCCCACACUUGGCCCACACAGCCUUCUGGGGCUGGUGGCCCCACCUGGUGGACCCCCGGGACCCUACCGGUGGUCCCAGUACGUUACCGAUAGCACCCGAAACUUUUCUGGUGACCAAAACGGGACUUUCCAUACAUAAAUCUUUACCUUCGGACCAUUCCGGAACUCCUCGUGACGUCCGGGAUCUCAUUUGGGACUCUAAACAACAUUCGGUAACUGCGUACAUACUUUCCCUAUAACCCUAGCGUCAUCGAACCUUAAGUGUGUAGACCCUACGGGCUCGGGAGUCAUGCAGACAUGGCCGAGACAACUCUCCGGUCAAUAACCAACAGCGGGAUCUGGAUACCCAUGUUGGCUCCCACAUGCUCCACGAUGAUCUCAUCGGAUGAACCACGAUGUCAAGGAUUCAAUCAAUCCCGUAUACAAUUCCCUUUGUCUAUCGGUACGAAUCGUAUGAUACUUGCCCGAGAUUCAAUCAUCGGUAUCCCGAUACCUCAUUCAAUCUCAUUACCGGCAAGUCUCUUUACUCGUUCCGUAACACGGCAUCCCGUGUUCAACUCCUUGGUCACAUUGUGCACAUUAUGAUGAUGUCCUACCGAGUGGGCCCAGAGAUACCUCCCCGUUACACGGAGUGACAAAUCCUAGUCUCGAUUCGUGCCAACCCAACUGACACUUUCGGAGAUACCCGCAGUGCACCUUUAUAGCCACCCAGUUACGUUGUGACGUUUGGUACACCCAAAGCAUUCCUACGGUAUCCGGGAGCUGCACAAUCUCAUGGUCUAAGCAAAUGAUACUUGAUAUUAGAAAAGCUUUAGCAUACGAACUACACGAUCUUGUGCUAGGCUUAGGAUUGGGUCUUGUCCAUCACAUCAUUCUCCUAAUGAUGUGAUCCCGUUAUCAACGACAUCCAAUGUCCAUGGUCAGGAAACCGUAACCAUCUAUUGAUCAACGAGCUAGUCAACUAGAGGCUUACUAGGGACAUGGUGUUGUCUAUGUAUCCACGCAUGUAUCUGAGUUUCCUAUCAAUACAAUUCUAGCAAGGAUAAUAAACGAUUAUCAUGAACAAGGAAAUAUAAUAAUAACUAAUUUAUUAUUGCCUCUAGGGCAUAUUUCCAACACCUAGGCCAUAUCUGCAUAUGCUAGCCUCGUCAAGUUUAAUCCGAGUAUUCUGCGUGUGCAAAACCGGCUUGCACCCGUUGUAUGUGAACGUAGAGCUUAUCACCUUCAACAAGGACCAGGCGUAGUCACACUCGAUUCAACUAAAGCUGGAGAAACAGACACCCACUAGCCAACUGUGUGCGAAGCACGUCGGUAGAACCAGUCUCGCGUAAGCGUAUGCGUAAUGUCGGUCUGGGCCGCUUCAUCCAACAAUGCCGCUGAAUCAAGAACCAACUACUGACGGCAAGCAAUAUGUAUAUAACCACGCCCACAACUCCUUUGUGUUAUACUCGUGCAUAUGACAUCUACGCAUAAACCUGGCUCUGAAACCACUGUUGGAGAACGUAGUAAUUUCAAAAAAAUUCCUACGCACAUGCAAGAUCAUGGUGAUGCAUAGCAAUGAUAGGGGAGAGUAUCGUCUACAUACCCUUGUAGACCGUAAGCGGAAGCGUUAUGACAACGCGGUUGAUGUAGUCGUACGUCUUCACGAUCGACCGAUCCUAAUACCGAAAGUACGACACCUCCGUGAUCUGCACACGUUCGGCUCGGUGACGUCCCACGAACUCAUGAUCCAGCAGAGUGUCGAGGGAGAUCUUCGUCAGCACGAUGACGUGAUGACGACGAUGAUGAUGCUACCAGAACAGGGCUUCACCUAAGCACCGCUACGAUAUGACCGAUGUGGAUUAUGGUGGAGGGGGGCUCCGCACACGGCUAAGAGAUCAAUGAUCAACUUGUGUGUCCAUGGGGUGCCCCCCUCCCCCGUAUAUAAAGGAGUGGAGGAGGGGGAGGGCCGGCCCUCUACUAUGGCGCGCCCUGGGGAGUCCUACUCCCACCGGGAGUAAGAUUCCCCCCUUCCAUGUAGUAGGAGUAGGAGAGAAGGAAAGGGAAAAGAGAAGAUAAGGAAGGAGAGGGCGCCGCCCCUCCCCCUAGUCCAAUUCGGACUAGGCCUUGGGGGGCGUGCAGCCUCCCCUCUCUCUUUCCCCUAAAGCCUAAUAAGGCCCAUAUACUCUCCGGCGAAUCCCCGUAACUCCCCGGUACUCCGAUAAGUACCCGAACCGCUCAGAGCCUUUCCGAUGUCCGAAUAUAGCCUUCCAAUAUAUCGAUCUUUACGUCUCAAACAUUUUGAGACUCCUCGUCAUGUCCCUGAUCUCAUCCGGGACUUCGAACAACCUUCGGUACAUCAAAACACAUAAACUCAUAAUACCGAUCGUCACCGAACGUUAAGCGUGCGGACCCUACGGGUUCGAGAACUAUGUAGACAUGACCGGGACAUGUCUCCGGUCAAUAACCAAUAGCGGAACCUGGAUGCUCAUAUUGGCUCCUACAUAUUCUAUGAAGAUCUUUAUCGGUCAAACCGCAUAACACCAUACGUUGUUCCCUUUGUCAUCGGUAUGUUACUUGCCCGAGAUUCGAUCGUCGGUAUCUCAAUACCUAGUUCAAUCUCGUUACCGGCAAGUCUCUUUACUCGUUCUGUAAUGCAUCAUCCUGCAACUAACUCAUUAGUUACAUUGCUUGCAAGGCUUAUAGUGAUGUGCAUUACCGAGAGGGCCCAGAGAUACCUCUCCGACAAUCAGAGUGACAAAUCCUAAUCUUGAUCUAUGUCAACUCAACAAGUACCAUCGGAGACACCUGUAGAGCACCUUUAUAAUCACCCAGUUAUGUUGUGACGUUUGGUAGCACACAAAGUGUUCCUUCGGUAUUCGGGAGUUGCAUGAUCUCAUAGUCAUAGGAACAUGUAUAGUUAUGGAGAAAGCAAUAGCAACAAACUAAACGAUCAUCGUGCUAAGCUAACGGAUGGGUCAAGUCAAUCACAUCAUUCUCUAAUGAUGUGAUCCCGUUAAUCAAAUGACAACUCAUGUCUAUGGUUAGGGAACAUAACCAUCAUUGAUUCAACGAGCUAGUCAAGUAGAGGCAAACUAGUGACAAUUUGUUUGUCUAUGUAUUCACACAUGUAUUAAGUUUUCGGUUAAUACAAUUCUAGCAUGAAUAAUAAACAUUUAUCAUGAUAUAAGGAAAUAUAAAUAACAACUUUAUUAUUGCCUCUAGGGCAUAUUUCUUUCAAGAGCAUCCUCCACCUCCACCGAGCGACUGUUGUCGAUCUUGAACAGGGCCCUCAUGACUGCAAUAGCCUCUUCUGGCAGCUGUCCCUUGAACCUGUUUGCGAACUGCUCCAGAGCGCGCUCCUUCAUGUCCUUGCCAUCCUGGACAAUACCUAUUCGCAUCAAAGCAUCCAGAACCGAGAAGUUCAUACUCGGCUCCAAGAUGGAUCGUAUUGAGCAUGAGUGGCUACUCCACAACACUUGAUUGUUGUGCCUAUGUCAUGCUCUUUAUUUUAUUUGGACUAUUUUGUGUUUUUGAAUUUGAAUAAUUUGAUUUGCAAACUUUAAAUUUGUAAUAUCCAUGAAUUAUGUGAACCUUGAUUAUUAAGUUGGAAUUCAAUAUAUGUGCAAAUAUGUAGUUGAAAUGUUGCAUGUAAACAAAAAACUUAGAACAAUUGAUGAAUGAAAUUUUUUAGGGAGUUAAAUUUGAAGGAUUCGGCUCAAAUCAUUUUUAUUUAACUCGUCAAAUAUAAAAUGUUAAGGUAUACAGGUCGAGGAGCGAAAUUAUAAGUGACCUGCAAGGGAUGUCCUUAGCAUGGCUAGUCCUUAGACAAUAAGACAAUAGACACAGCAUAAUGAUGUUCAAAGUAUUCUCUUCGAGGAUUCUCUGGUCUGGUUUCUCCAAUCAGCACCUAUCUAGGGAGCGUUCGGUUUCCCACUGCUCCUAUAACUCCGCUCCCGGAGCGGACAAGAUUUCAGCUUAUUUUGGCGGAGCUGGUAAAACCGAGCUCCACAACUCCUCGGAGCGGAUCGAUUCCGAACAGGGCCCUAGUCGAUCCACGUCUCCUGCACUUGGGUAUUAUAGAUCCCUUGUGCCUUCGUCAAGAUUUUUGAAAUUUGACCAGGACUCGACGGACAUCUCAGAAGAUCACAGUUUUUCUCCUCACAGAAGCUCCAAGCUGUGGUGUUUUACUUUUAUUACCAGGUGACCACUGAAGUAUCUCCAUCCAGGCGGCACCAUGUCGGCAGUGGCAGACCGGUUCAGGGAGCUACCGGUUGGAAAUCCACCAUUCGUCAAUGCUUUUAGAUUCGUGCGGUUGGACCCCACAAAAUUUCUUUUUCCCCACCGAUUCCAGGAUACGAGACCAUGCAAUACAAGAUGGAGCCCACGUCUCGAUCCCGCACAUCCCACGAACCCACGCCCCCAGUCUGCCUCGCCUCCUCUCACCCAUGGCCGGCGCCACCACGCUCGUCCUCUCCCUCAUGGCCGCCGGCGCCGUUCCUCUUCGCGCCCAGCUUCUCACCUGGACGGCCCCCGACCCCGCGGCCGCCCCCGCCGUCCGGGCCGCCGUCUGGACGUCACUGUCGGACGCCGUCAUGGGCGACGGCGCCGACCAGCCACCCCGCCGCUGGAUCCUCCUUCCCCGGCCGGCCAUGGCGACCACCACGCGUACAAGUACAAAAGCCCUCAUGGUCCAAUGAGAUCCAGCGAGACAGGUUCGUCCCCAUCUAGCCCGGUCAGCUCUCGUACCCUGCAUCAACCAGAUCCCGUGGGCGUCGGGGUGACCUGCUCCGGCGAGGUUCCUCGAUCCCGCCCGCCACAAGCCCGUCCACGGGCAGCCGUGCUCGCCUUUGGUGGCUACGUGCAGCACGGGCACCACGGCGGGGCACCGCGCACCGUUGUCGCCGGAUCUGGCGACUCCAAGCCUGACCGCCAUUGGAUCUGGUUAGUCAUGAAUCAUCUCUCCUAACCUCUCUCCAUAUCAUGAUUUCGGUUUUAUUUUUCAUGAUUUCAAAAUUCCUUGUUUCUCUACCAGAUCAUCGGCCUCCUGCAUCUUCAGUUUCAGAUAUUUGAUUGUUUGUGCAGAGGGCAUGUGUUACACUUUUCUGAAAGAGAACCAAGAGUGAAUCAAUUUCAGAAAUCAAGUUACAUCUAUGUACCUGUGUGUGUAGCUGAGUUGUGCAAGAUAUGUGAAAUUUAUAUUUCAAUCUGUAACUUGUUAUUUGAGUGAAAUAUGUAUUGAAAUAGUUGUUUCAAUAUAAAUUGAAAUUCUUUGUGCCACUUUUGGAGUGUUGAAUUUCAAGCUUUU
rnacentral:lncRNA from 1 species